rnacentral:tRNA from 1 species
GCGGACAUAGUUCAAUUGCUAGAACGCGGCGUUGCCAGCGCCGGGAUAUGGGUUGGAGACCCAUUGUCCGCACCA